rnacentral:misc_RNA from 1 species
GUUUCGUCCAUGUUUUACCUUUCAACAGAUUAUCUUUUUGCUCUGAUUAUUUGUUUCCUGUCAUCAUAUUCAUCCCAAGUUUGUAAGCCACUGACUUGAGUUGCAUUUAUUGAUUGUAUUUUAAUCUGCCAUACUAAGUGCAGUUGACUUGAAAUAGCUCAAAAUAUAUUAUGUAAUAUGUGUAACCAUAUUCUCCUGAACCUGAGCAGAAAGAUCCUGCCAUUUUUGUUCCCAAGAUCCCAUUUGAUCUUCCAACAGCUGGAAUUUUGCAUUCUCAGCCAUGGAAGCUUUAGAUUUGUUGGCCAGUUUGAAAGAAGUGACUGGUUCCUCUGGAUCACAACUGUCUGAUACCAAAUUGUUAGACCCCUUGUUCGUGGAUCUAACAGAACAGAAGUUGAGAGAAAAAAGGGAAGGAGAGUGGAAGAAGUAGAGAGAAGAAUAAAAGUAAAGAAGAAUAGAAAAUAGAGAGAGAUUGAAUAGCUGAGAGAGAAAGUGAAUUGUAUUUCUUUUCUUGAAUGAUCCAAAUUCCGGCUAAGAAUUGACAAUUAAAACUAACUUGCUUAACCCACUAAUCAACUGUUGCCACCUCAGCGAACUGAAUCAACAUUUCUUCAUCUUUCCUGCCAACAAUUUGAUCCUUUUUUACAGCUUUCUCCUGAUUGGAGGCAGUAAAUAUAGCAAGCUAUCAUGUGUUUGUUUUGGUAUUUGGUAAUAUAGAGCUAACUGCUAUAUAAAUUCUGCUUCACCUCCUAUAUAGAGCGUAAAGAACAGAUAGAGAA